GGCCUUGUAGCUCAAUUGGAUAGAGCGUCAGAUUCCGGUUCUGAAGGUUGGGGGUUCAAAUCCCUUCAAGGUCG
rnacentral:tRNA from 1 species